rnacentral:rRNA from 1 species
UACAGAGGGGGCAAGCGUUAUUCGGAAUUAUUGGGCGUAAAGGGCGCGUAGGCGGCCUGGCAAGUGGAAGGUGAAAUCCCUCGGCUUAACCGAGGAACUGCCCUCCAAACUGCUUGGCUUGAGACCGGGAGAGGUGAGUGGAAUUCCCAGUGUAGCGGUGAAAUGCGUAGAUAUUGGGAGGAACACCAGUGGCGAAGGCGGCUCACUGGACCGGUACUGACGCUGAGGCGCGAAAACGUGGGGAGCAAACGGG